rnacentral:tRNA from 1 species
GGGAUUGUAGUUUAAUGGUUAGAGCACCGCCCUGUCACGGCGGAAGUUGCGGGUUCGAGUCCCGUCAGUCCCGUUCCCUUUUUUAUAAGUUUUUUAAAUAUUUAGUUUUUUGGAUGAUAAAAU